GUGUGUUGUGAUUGAAUAAUAACUGCUCUCCUUCUUAAAUCUCUCUUAUUCUUUUAUCUUCUUUCUCUUCUUCCUCCUUUUCUAUAUUUCUUCUUGCUAAAAUCUUAUUGGGUUGCAUCAAUGGUAUCAGAGCUGGUUGAUUCUCGGCUAUGGUGAAUUACAAGUUCUAAUCUUCUUUUUUUUCCUUUCUCUUCUAUUCUCAU
rnacentral:misc_RNA from 1 species